AUGCCCGGCGUGUGCAGCGCGCUCGUCGGCCUCGUCAGGAACCCCGUGUCCCCUCAGGCCACCAAGGUCGCGCUCGUCACGGACUACUACCUCGUCUCCGGCAGCUACCGCGCGGCCGCCAGCUUUGCCGAGCUAGGGACAGUAUUCGUCGUUGUGGAGCUCCUCGUGGACGCUAUCAAGGGGACGAGCGAGAAGGCACUGGUCGUGCUCGACGGCGUCCUGUGCGCCGACACCGGCCUCGAGUCCACGCGUGCGCACGCGCUGGUCGUGCCGUUGCUGGUCAAGAAGAUGUUCCGCGUGUCCCACAUGGCCACGGAGUUCGCCGUUUCCGCGCUCUGGCGCCUCUGCCGUGCCGUGGACACCGGCACCGCGCGUGCUCCGACGAGGCGCUGCGUGUGGGCGUCUUCCAGAAGCUGCUCCAGGUGGGCUGCGGCGGCGUGA
rnacentral:rRNA from 1 species